AUGUCAAGGCUGGCCGCCAGCCUCAGCUGUCCCGCAGAGGACGUGCCGGACCUCACAGUAUUGGGACCUGGGCUCUGUGGAAACUGGGACAGGCUGGACACAGUGAGCCUGGCAGGAUCGCGUCCGCAUGCGAAGGAUGGAGUGUCUGUGGCGGAUGGAGCAGCUUUCCCAGUUGCCUGGAGCUCAUCCACGAAGCAGGAUGUCAAUGUCUCUGGCAAAAAUGGCCAUUUACGACAGUGUGCUGUGUACCGGGGGUUUUCCCUUGUGUAUUUCAUCAUACGAAAGACUUAUUCCAGGAGUUUAUAUUACAAGUUGGUAUCGGAGCAGCUGCAGAACAAUCCCGAGGCACAGGAAGCUCUGGGCCCUCCUGUCAACAUCCACUAUCUCAAGCUCACGGGCAAGGACAACUUUGUGGACAUUGCUGAUGCCAAGUUGAAGAUUCCUGUCUCUGGAUCCAAGUCAGAGGGUCAUCUCCACGUCCACUCAACCAGGAGUGGCCCCUGUCAGAGGUGGCACCUUGACGAGGUCUUAGAGCUCAAGGAUGGUCAGCAGAUUCCCGUGUUCAACCUCAGUGGGGAAAAUGGUGAUGAAGUGAAAAAGGAGUAGAGACGACCCAGAAGACCCAGCUUGCUUCUAGUCCAGCCUUUCCUCAUCUCCACCAUCUGCCCACUGGUGUGGUGGCCCAUCUGAGUGACAGAUACUCCUGCAAGCCAGUUUUUCAGCCACCAGUAGGAUGACUGUAUGUGCCAUCAUAUGGUAAUUUUGGUAUAACUCUAACUUGGGCACAACAAAUGCUUUUUGUCAUUUUUAAACUGAAUCAGAAAGAAACUCUUAUAAAUUUAAGAUGAUUUAUUUGAAAGUGAUUUGUAUAAAAAUGCACACGAUAAAAGGAAUCAGAAUUAAAAAAAAAACGUUCGUUAAAAAAA